rnacentral:rRNA from 1 species
GUUGAACGCUGGCGGCAUGCCUUACACAUGCAAGUCGAACGGUAACAGGUCUUCGGAUGCUGACGAGUGGCGAACGGGUGGGUAAUACAUCGGAACGUGCCUAGUAGUGGGGGAUAACUACUCGAAAGAGUGGCUAAUACCGCAUGAGAUCUACGGAUGAAGCAGGGGAUCGCAAGACCUUGUGCUACUAGAGCGGCCGAUGGCAGAUUAGGUAGUUGGUGGGAUAAAAGCUUACCAAGCCGACGAUCUGUAGCUGGUCUGAGAGGACGAUCAGCCACACUGGGACUGAGACACGGCCCAGACUCCUACGGGAGGCAGCAGUGGGGAAUUUUGGACAAUGGGCGAAAGUCUGACGGAGCGACGCCGCGUGAUGGAUGAAGACCCUUCGGGUCGUAAACAUCUUUUAUAGAGGAGAAAGUGCAAUCCUUCGGGUUUGCAUUGAUAGUACUCUAAGAAUAAGGGGUUGCUAAACUCGUGCCAGCAGCCGCAGUAA